UACGUAGGGUGCAAGCGUUGUCCGGAAUUAUUGGGCGUAAAGAGCUCGUAGGUGGCCUGUCGCGUCGGCUGUGAAAACUCGGGGCUCAACUCCGAGCUUGCAGUCGAUACGGGCAGGCUAGAGUUCGGCAGGGGAGACUGGAAUUCCUGGUGUAGCGGUGAAAUGCGUAGAGAUCAGGAGGAACACCGGUGGCGAAGGCGACUAUCUGGGCUGCAACUGACGCUGAGGCGCGAAGGCUAGGGUAGCAAACAGG
rnacentral:rRNA from 1 species